GGGCGAUUAGCUCAGUCGGUAGAGCGCUACAUUCGCAUUGUAGAGGCCACCGGUUCGAAUCCGGUAUCGUCCACCA
rnacentral:tRNA from 2 species